rnacentral:rRNA from 1 species
UACGAAGGGGGCUAGCGUUGCUCGGAAUCACUGGGCGUAAAGGGUGCGUAGGCGGGUCUUUAAGUCAGGGGUGAAAUCCUGGAGCUCAACUCCAGAACUGCCUUUGAUACUGAAGAUCUUGAGUUCGGGAGAGGUGAGUGGAACUGCGAGUGUAGAGGUGAAAUUCGUAGAUAUUCGCAAGAACACCAGUGGCGAAGGCGGCUCACUGGCCCGAUACUGACGCUGAGUGAGCGAAAGCCAGGGGAGCAAACGGG